AUUGAACGCUGGCGGCAUGCCUAACACAUGCAAGUCGAGCGAGCGGCGGACGGGUGAGUAAUGUCUGGGUAACUGCCUGAUGGAGGGGGAUAACUACUGGAAACGGUAGCCAAUACCGCAUACCAUCAGAUGUGCCCAGAUGGGAUUAGCUGGUAGGCGGGGUAACGGCGCACCUAGGCGACGAUCCCUAGCUGGUCUGCGAGGAUGACCAGCCACACUGUAACUGAGACACGGUCCAGACUCCUACGGGAGGCAGCGGUGGGGAAUAUUGCACAAGGGGCGCAAGCCUGAUGCAGCAAGGCCGCGGGUGUGAAGAAGGCCUUCGAGUUGUAAAGCACUUUCAUCGGGGAGGCGUUACCCGCAGAAGAAGCACCGGCUAACUCCGUGCCAGCAGCCGCGGUAAUAC
rnacentral:rRNA from 1 species